AGAGUUUGAUCCUGGCUCAGGACGAACGCUGGCGGCGUGCCUAAUACAUGCAAGUCGAGCGGAUGAUGAAGAAGCUUGCUUCUUCUGAUUUAGCGGCGGACGGGUGAGUAACACGUGGGCAACCGGCCCUGUAGAUUGGGAUAACUCCGGGAAACCGGGGCUAAUACCGAAUAAUCCAUUCCCUCACAUGAGGAAAUGUUAAAAGACGGCAUCUCGCUGUCACUACAGGAUGGGCCCGCGGCGCAUUAGCUAGUUGGUGAGGUAACGGCUCACCAAGGCGACGAUGCGUAGCCGACCUGAGAGGGUGAUCGGCCACACUGGGACUGAGACACGGCCCAGACUCCUACGGGAGGCAGCAGUGGGGAAUAUUGCACAAUGGGCGAAAGCCUGAUGCAGCGACGCCGCGUGAGGGACGAAGGCCUUCGGGUUGUAAACCUCUUUCAGCAGGGAAGAAGCGAAAGUGACGGUACCUGCAGAAGAAGGGCCGGCUAACUACGUGCCAGCAGCCGCGGUAAUACGUAGGGCGCAAGCGUUAUCCGGAAUUAUUGGGCGUAAAGAGCUCGUAGGCGGUUUGUCGCGUCUGCUGUGAAAGCCCGGGGCUCAACCCCGGGUCUGCAGUGGGUACGGGCAGACCAGAGUGCAGUAGGGGAGACUGGAAUUCCUGGUGUAGCGGUGAAAUGCGCAGAUAUCAGGAGGAACACCGAUGGCGAAGGCAGGUCUCUGGGCUGUAACUGGCGCUGAGGAGCGAAAGCAUGGGGAGCGAACAGGAUUAGAUACCCUGGUAGUCCAUGCCGUAAACGUUGGGCACUAGGUGUGGGGGACAUUCCACGUUUUCCGCGCCGUAGCUAACGCAUUAAGUGCCCCGCCUGGGGAGUACGGCCGCAAGGCUAAAACUCAAAGGAAUUGACGGGGGCCCGCACAAGCGGCGGAGCAUGCGGAUUAAUUCGAUGCAACGCGAAGAACCUUACCAAGGCUUGACAUGAACCGGAAAGGCCUGGAAACAGGUCCCCCACUUGUGGCCGGUUUACAGGUGGUGCAUGGUUGUCGUCAGCUCGUGUCGUGAGAUGUUGGGUUAAGUCCCGCAACGAGCGCAACCCUCGUUCUAUGUUGCCAGCGGGUUAUGCCGGGGACUCAUAGGAGACUGCCGGGGUCAACUCGGAGGAAGGUGGGGACGACGUCAAAUCAUCAUGCCCCUUAUGUCUUGGGCUUCACGCAUGCUACAAUGGCCGGUACAAAGGGUUGCGAUACUGUGAGGUGGAGCUAAUCCCAAAAAGCCGGUCUCAGUUCGGAUUGAGGUCUGCAACUCGACCUCAUGAAGUUGGAGUCGCUAGUAAUCGCAGAUCAGCAACGCUGCGGUGAAUACGUUCCCGGGCCUUGCACACACCGCCCGUCAAG
rnacentral:rRNA from 1 species